rnacentral:tRNA from 1 species
CAGUAGCUCAGCUGGAUAGAGCAACGGCCUUCUAAGCCGUAGGUCGCAGGUUCGAGUCCUGCCUGG